rnacentral:rRNA from 1 species
AUUGAACGCUGGCGGCAGGCCUAACACAUGCAAGUCGAGCGGAUGAAGGGAGCUUGCUCCUGGAUUCAGCGGCGGACGGGUGAGUAAUGCCUAUGAAUCUGCCUGGUAGUGGGGGAUAACGUCCGGAAACGGGCGCUAAUACCGCAUACGUCCUGAGGGAGAAAGUGGGGGAUCUUCGGACCUCACGCUAUCAGAUGAGCCUAGGUCGGAUUAGCUAGUUGGUGGGGUAAAGGCCUACCAAGGCGACGAUCCGUAACUGGUCUGAGAGGAUGAUCAGUCACACUGGAACUGAGACACGGUCCAGACUCCUACGGGAGGAAGCAGUGGGGAAUAUUGGACAAUGGGCGAAAGCCUGAUCCAGCCAUGACGCGUGUGUGAAGAAGGUCUUCGGAUUGUAAAGCACUUUAAGUUGGGAGGAAGGGCAGUAAGUUAAUACCUUGCUGUUUUGACGUUACCAAAAGAAUAAGCACCGGCUAACUUCGUG